AAAUUGCUGUGGUGUACGAAUCCACACUAAGUGUUGACCGACUAUUUUUUGUAUUUUCGGGAGACAAAAGUCUUUUGGCAGUAUGUAGGCCGUUGCACACGGAAACAACUAAGUCAAAGCGAGUCGCCCACCUGUUUACUUUGUACGGGUUCAAUACAAAUCGUGGAUAACGGCACCAAUACAGCAUGUCG
rnacentral:other from 1 species